rnacentral:rRNA from 1 species
GACGAACGCUGGCGGCGUGCUUAACACAUGCAAGUCGAACGGUAAGGCCCUUCGGGGUACACGAGUGGCGAACGGGUGAGUAACACGUGGGUGAUCUGCCCUGCACUUCGGGAUAAGCCUGGGAAACUGGGUCUAAUACCGGAUAGGACCACUGCCCGCAUGGGUGGUGGUGGAAAGCUUUUGCGGUGUGGGAUGGGCCCGCGGCCUAUCAGCUUGUUGGUGGGGUGAUGGCCUACCAAGGCGACGACGGGUAGCCGGCCUGAGAGUGUGACCGGCCACACUGGGACUGAGAUACGGCCCAGACUCCUACGGGAGGCAGCAGUGGGGAAUAUUGCACAAUGGGCGCAAGCCUGAUGCAGCGACGCCGCGUGAGGGAUGACGGCCUUCGGGUUGUAAACCUCUUUCAGCACCGACGAAGCGCAAGUGACGGUAGGUGCAGAAGAAGGACCGGCCAACUACGUGCCAGCCGCCGCAGUAA